UACGUAGGGUGCAAGCGUUAAUCGGAAUUACUGGGCGUAAAGCGUGCGCAGGCGGUUUUGUAAGUCUGUCGUGAAAUCCCCGGGCUCAACCUGGGAAUUGCGAUGGAGACUGCAAGGCUAGAAUCUGGCAGAGGGGGGUAGAAUUCCACGUGUAGCAGUGAAAUGCGUAGAGAUGUGGAGGAACACCGAUGGCGAAGGCAGCCCCCUGGGUCAAGAUUGACGCUCAGGCACGAAAGCGUGGGGAGCAAACAGG
rnacentral:rRNA from 1 species